rnacentral:rRNA from 1 species
UACGAAGGGUGCAAGCGUUACUCGGAAUUACUGGGCGUAAAGCGCACGUAGGCGGAUCGAUCAGUCAGGGGUGAAAUCCUGGAGCUCAACUCCAGAACUGCCUUUGAUACUGGCGAGCUUGAGUCCGGGAGAGGUGAGUGGAACUGCGAGUGUAGAGGUGAAAUUCGUAGAUAUUCGCAAGAACACCAGUGGCGAAGGCGGCUCACUGGCCCGGUACUGACGCUGAGGUGCGAAAGCGUGGGGAGCAAACAGG